rnacentral:rRNA from 1 species
AAACUAUACAAUGGAGAGUUUGAUCCUGGCUCAGGACGAACGCUGGCGGCGUGCUUAACACAUGCAAGUCAAGGAGAACGUUUUCUUCGGAGAACA